AUUGUUGCGAUGGACCUCCUCCGCGCUACUAUUUCUAAAAAAUGUUUGUAAAAUUUUAUUGAAUUCAACAUAGUUGCAGCAACAAAUCAAGAACGAGGUAGCUUUAAUAUCCUCGGUAUCUUGGGUCGGAAGUAGCAGAAAAGAUUGAGUUACAGUAUCAUCCAAAUCAUUUACAAGGAAUGGCAAAGAGGCGAACAACACUGCAUUCAACCAAGUGAACAUGACAAGUUUUUUCACACGCGAAGUUGUAAUUGUCGUGUGAUAUUUGAAUGGAGACAAAAUCAUAAAAGCUCGUUCGACAGCUAUCAGCGUGACCGUCCCAGCGGAGGCAAAGCGAAGCGCAUUUACCACCACUAUAUAGAAGCCGCAGAGAAAGGGAGUCCACCUCCUCUGGACAAAAUAGUUCAUGAAAAUCAGAAUUUGAAGAGGGACAGCUCCGCCAAUGAAAUCUGCCGUUGAAAGGGACAGAAGGAGAAUAUCUGUAAUGACCCAUUGUUUUUGAAAUUUUAUCGACAGCAGCACCAAAAGAUUUCCAAGAGCAACUGCCAAAAUACCUGCUUCGAGGAAUAAGCCAAGUGCUAAUGGACUCAGAGAAGUUACUGCAUUAUCUCCUUCUUCUUUCACCGUAAAAGCUGAUGUCGUUAUGUUUGUUGUAUCGGCAUUGGUAACCACAGAUGUGGAGGCCAUUUGUAUUCUCACGAACGCACAGUUUUUGAACUUUAAAUCAGUUCGAGGCUCCUCGAACUUCUCAUAGCCUUGGCACGCGUCUGUUGGUCAAUUAGAGACAGAAGACAGCAAUGAAUGUAGAACUCCGAGUUUUUUUGUGAAACGAGACUUAAACCUGUUCCCCCUUGCUGUCUCGUCCACUCAUCGUGGGUUUAAAGCAGCAAGAACUUCAAAACCUUGAACUGCGACAAGUUUGGCAAACAAGUCACAGGAUCCAAAUAGCAAUGAAAGGGCAUGAAAAUAAAUACAUUCAAUGUGAACAGUGUCGUUCAGUGCAAAAAAUUUAAAACGGAGACUCAUGGUUAUUCUAACCACGUUUCCGUGUUGGUGAGAACGAAAAGAUACCAAGAAGCCGCAAAGAAUGGAAAUUUGUGAUCAAAAACACUUUCGUUUCUUUCCAAGUUGAAACUGGGUUAACGGUUUCUGUAGGAAUCUAAUCUAGGAACAACAGAUCUUUUACCAAGCUGAUUAAAUCCUGAGGCACGCUUCCGAGUAGCUUAACCCUGGGUUAACAGCCUCUUCAAAGAUUCCAUGUAUUGUUGUAUUGUCCUCAUAUUUGAGAAAAUGUCAAUCA